CUGGGCCCUGGGGAGAAGCCUCUCCUCAUUGGCUGCUCCGGAGUCCACCUGCCCUGUCUGAGCAGCCCGAAAGUCAUUGGCCGCCGCCGCUGUCGCUUAGCAAGAAGCCAGCCGUAGACUCCGCUUUGGGUUGCGAGGGGUGACUAGCUAGCUCAGAAGCGUGGCCGUCCCCUCUCCAUUGGUCGCUCGAAGCUGGACACUGUGCCUCUCGUCUGCAAACUUAGGAACUCUAACUGCAUGGCGGCGCGUCUAGGGGAACCUCGUCGGCUCCGUGUGGAACCUGGGUGUUUUAAGUGUUCGUGCCGUUUCCUCAGGCUAAGGCGCGAUCCCACGGAUGCGGUGCUGGGGUCACAAAAUGGGGUGCCACCCCCAAACAUUACGUCAUCGCGGUGACCACCGCCAGGCGCGCCUCGCAGUCUGAACUGCUUUACAAUCCGGAUGGAUGCGGUUCUGGCGUCCGCCUGCCUCUGGGCGUACGCACCACGCACGGCCCCUCCCUCUGCGGGAGAGCCGGACAGACUUUGGGAUUCAGAGUGUAAAAGAAACCGGAACCACCGAGACCUGAGACCUGGGACACGCCGCGACCGGAAGUGGGGGAGGUGACGUUGGGAAGUGCUGGCGUGGCCUGGGCCACAACCAAGGAGAGCUUAAGUGUUCGGAAUGGAACCUAGUGCUUCACCCAGUCCAAGCAAGCAGCCCACCGACAUAGUAGCUUGGCGAGUCGUUUUGUUUUUUGGCGAUACUGAGUAUUGAACGUUGGGAGUCGCACAGGCUAGGCAGGUGCACUCAUAACACUGAAGCUACACUAUAUCCUAUCACUUUUUGGGACAGGGUUUCCACUAAGUUGUCCUGCCUGCCUAGUAACUGGUGCUUCACUGCUGCGCCAUCAGGUCCAGGUUUGGGUAAACCUUUUAAAAGAAGGCUCUUUUACCUGCCAUUGGGCCCCCAUAGCAUUGGAUCCAAAAGGUUCCGGCUUAUGUAUGGGAAGAAUCUAGGACCCACCACAUUCCACAUGAUGACAUCAGACAAAUCGUUCUACCUCCCGAAACCUAUUGUCUCAUGAAUAAAAUGGUAACUAUAAUAUC
rnacentral:lncRNA from 1 species